rnacentral:rRNA from 1 species
GCCGAGCGGUAAGAUUCUUCGGAAUCUUGAGAGCGGCGUACGGGUGCGGAACACGUGUGCAACCUGCCUUUAUCUGGGGGAUAGCCUUUCGAAAGGAAGAUUAAUACCCCAUAAUAUAUUGACUGGCAUCAGUUAAUAUUGAAAACUCCGGUGGAUAGAGAUGGGCACGCGCAAGAUUAGAUAGUUGGUGAGGUAACGGCUCACCAAGUCUACGAUCUUUAGGGGGCCUGAGAGGGUGAUCCCCCACACUGGUACUGAGACACGGACCAGACUCCUACGGGAGGCAGCAGUGAGGAAUAUUGGACAAUGGGUGAGAGCCUGAUCCAGCCAUCCCGCGUGAAGGACGACGGCCCUAUGGGUUGUAAACUUCUUUUGUAUAGGGAUAAACCUACUCUCGUGAGAGUAGCUGAAGGUACUAUACGAAUAAGCACCGGCUAACUCCGUGCCAGCAGCCGCGGUAAUACGGAGGGUGCAAGCGUUAUCCGGAUUUAUUGGGUUUAAAGGGUCCGUAGGCGGAUCUGUAAGUCAGUGGUGAAAUCUCACAGCUUAACUGUGAAACUGCCAUUGAUACUGCAGGUCUUGAGUGUUGUUGAAGUAGCUGGAAUAAGUAGUGUAGCGGUGAAAUGCAUAGAUAUUACUUAGAACACCAAUUGCGAAGGCAGGUUACUAAGCAACAACUGACGCUGAUGG